UACGGAAGGCAGCAGUGGGGAAUAUUGCACAAUGGGCGCAAGCCUGAUGCAGCCAUGCCGCGUGUAUGAAGAAGGCCUUCGGGUUGUAAAGUACUUUCAGUCGUGAGGAAGGUGUUAAGGUUAAUAACCUUAGCAAUUGACGUUAGCGACAGAAGAAGCACCGGCUAACUCCGUGCCAGCAGCCGCGGUAAUACGGAGGGUGCGAGCGUUAAAUCGGAAUUACUGGGCGUAAAGGGCACGCAGGCGGUUAAUUAAGUUGGAUGUGAAAUCCCCGGGCUUAACCUGGGAAUGGCAUUUCAAGACUGGUUAGCUAGAGUCUUGUAGAGGGGGUAGAAUUCCAUGUGUAGCGGUGAAAUGCGUAGAGAUGUGGAGGAAUACCGGUGGCGAAGGCGGCCCCUGGGACAAAGACUGACGCUCAUGUGCGAAAAGCGUGGGGAGCAAAACAGGAUUAGAUACC
rnacentral:rRNA from 1 species